UACGGAGGGUGCAAGCGUUGUCCGGAAUCACUGGGCGUAAAGGGCGCGUAGGCGGCUCAUGAAGGCUGUGGUGAAAGUCCGGGGCUCAACCUCGGAUCGGCCGUGGCGACUCGUGGGCUGGAGCACUGUAGAGGCGGGUGGAAUUCCGGGUGUAGCGGUGAAAUGCGCAGAUAUCGGGAGGAACACCAAUGGCGAAGGCAGCUCGCUGGGACGUGACUGACGCUGAGACGCGAAAGCGUGGGGAGCAAACAGG
rnacentral:rRNA from 1 species